rnacentral:rRNA from 1 species
UACGAAGGUGGCAAGCGUUGUUCGGAUUUACUGGGCGUACAGGGAGCGUAGGCGGUUGGAUAAGCCCUCCGUGAAAUCUCCAGGCUUAACCUGGAAAGUGCAGAGGGGACUGUUCAGCUAGAGGAUGGGAGAGGAGCGCGGAAUUCCCGGUGUAGCGGUGAAAUGCGUAGAGAUCGGGAGGAAGGCCGGUGGCGAAGGCGGCGCUCUGGAACAUUUCUGACGCUGAGGCUCGAAAGCGUGAGUAGCAAACAGG